AACCUCUGGUUACGUAAUUUGGAAUUGGGGAAAGGAACAAGCAAACAAAAAAGUAAAUAAACAAAUUCGAAUGGAGAAGCCGUUAAAGCCGUUGGCGGAAACAGAGGGCCGGGAGCCAGAAAGGUUGAUUGGUAUUUAAAUAAAGUCUGAACUAUGAAAAAAGGGUCUAAACAGAAAUCCUCUAAACAAAACCAGCAGACUGAUGCAACAACUACUUGUAAGAAAUUGUUCUUUAAAUCUUCCAAACAGAAGAAACACAACAGUCAAGGGGAUUUUGUGAAACUAUUUCCACUAGAAGUUAACAUAAAGAUUUUUAGCAAACUUGACAUUCACAGCUUGUGCAAUGCCGCAAUAACUUGCAAGAGCUGGAACCAAACCAUUGAGCAUUGUGAUGAUUUAUGGAAACAACAUUGUUUAAAUAUAAGAGCGGUCUGUCAGCGAGAGGUUGAUGGUGACAGAGGAAAAGGGUACUCAUGGAAGGUCACGCUGCAUAGAAACUACUGGAAAAGCAAAGUAAAGUAUGAAUGGCUGAGUGGAAAAUAUAGCAAUAUUCAGUCACGGAGUAAUUUGCCAGAAAAAUGUAUGUACCCUAUGGAUGUAGAUACCUGGGGAGAAAUCUUGGAAGCUGAACUGGAAAGAGUUUUAUACAGAGGAAAUUAGAGAAGAGGAAAUUUAACAACCGGCUCAGAGAACUGGAUGUACAGUAAAUCUAGACUUCUCAAUUCCAGGCCUGCCUUCUGAUGCAUAUUUCUUGCUUCAAAAGCAGUUUGGGUCCUCAUUUUACCCACCUUGGAAGGAUGGAAGGCUGAGUCAGCCUUGAGCCUGGCGGGAUUUGAACUGGAAAAUUGCAAGCAGCCAACAGGCAGCAGAAGUAGCUUGGUACCACACACUAACCACUGCGCCACCAAGAUUCAUUCACCCAUCCAUACCCACCUCAACAUCUGUUUCUCAAUCCUGUGGACAGCUUAAAUUCUUAUGCCUGAAAGAACAUGUAGGAAUAGAUCAACACUUCCAAACAAUGGUUUUGUCUAGAUCUGUGCUCCCUGGCUUGCACGACAUCCACCAUUUUAAAUUGUUGAGGUUGACAAACACUCAUGAUUACAUCCAUAAUCUGCAUUGGAACAAGGUUUGAGUGUAAUAAGAAAUUAAUAUUCUUCCAGUUAUUAAUAUUCGGUAUUAUCUCAAGCAAACCUCCUUGUGCCAAGUUUUCCAAACAUCUCUUUAAACUCGGGAGAGAAAUGUGAAGUAACUCAACUUUCAACUUAGGAAGCAACAGAAAGCUGGAGAUGACGAUCUGUGAUGUGAUAAGAAAAAAAGAUAGCUACUUCACCUGAUUGAAGUUGGCUCAGAACUGCUGCCAAAAGAAGUGUUUAAGCUCCCCAAGAACAAGAAUACAGGGGAGGGGGACACCCUUUUAUUUUUCUGAGACCAGAAAAUAUAUAAGGUAUGCUUUUAAUUCCAGCUUGUUGAUAUAGAAAAAUUAGGAAUUUGGAUGGCAAGUUUCAACAGAGAACAAUUCAAGUAGCUGCUUCUGUAGCGGCCUCAUAAAAAUAAAGCUUUUGAAAUAGAAGUAUUUUCCCACAUCCCACUUAUAUAAGCAAUGCUUAGCUUUGGAACGCACCUCAGAUUGAUGGUUUCAGGAAGCCUGAUAGAUUUCUUCGUUGAUUUCCUGGAAAACCUUUGCCCUCCCAAAAUGCACUUG